AAAAAAUUAGUUAAACUCUAUAACAUUAGUAUGUCAAACUAAAAUUAUUAUUAUUUAUAAUAUUUUUUG
rnacentral:tRNA from 1 species